GACGAACGCUGGCGGCGUGCUUAACACAUGCAAGUCGAACGGUAAGGCCCUUCGGGGUACACGAGUGGCGAGCGGGUGAGUAACACGUGGGUGAUCUGCCCUGCAUUUUGGGAUAAGCCUGGGAAACUGGGUCUAAUAUCGGAUAGGACCACGCGUUUCACGGUGUGUGGUGGAAAGCUUUUUCGGUGUGGGAUGGGCCCGCGGCCUAUCAGCUUGUUGGUGGGGUAAUGGCCUACCAAGGCGAGGACGGGUAGCCGGCCUGGGAGGGUGACCGGCCACACUGGGACUGAGAUACGGCCCAGACUCCUACGGGAGGCAGCAGUGGGGAAUAUUGCACAAUGGGCGCAAGCCUGAUGCAGCGACGCCGCGUGAGGGAUGACGGCCUUCGGGUUGUAAACCUCUUUCAGUAGGGACGAAGCGCAAGUGACGGUACCUACAGAAGAAGGACCGGCCAACUACGUGCCAGCAGCCGCCGUAA
rnacentral:rRNA from 1 species